rnacentral:rRNA from 1 species
CGGGACGGGUGAGUAACGCGUGGAUAACCUGCCUCACACUGGGGGAUAACAGUUAGAAAUGGCUGCUAAUACCGCAUAAGCGCACAGUACCGCAUGGUACGGUGUGAAAAACCCAGGUGGUGUGAGAUGGAUCCGCGCCUGAUUAGCCAGUUGGCGGGGUAACGGCCCACCAAAGCGACGAUCAGUAGCCGACCUGAGAGGGUGACCGGCCACAUUGGGACUGAGACACGGCCCAA